GGGAAUAGCUCAAUUGGCAGAGCGUCGGUCUCCAAAACCGAAGGUCGGGGGUUCGAGGCCCUCUUCC
rnacentral:tRNA from 2 species